UUUUAAUCAGAGUGAAUCGCUACCUUCCUCCCGCAGGCCCACCACCCGCAGGAGGCGCCAUAGGGGUCGGGUGCAUUGUGUGCCGGGCAGCAGCCAGGAGCGGAGGCCCUGGCGGACUGAUCCCCGGCUGCCAAGACAAUAAGCAAUAGGGACAUGGAAUAGCCAAGUGGCGGAGGGCCUUCACUUCGGUGGCCUCAGAAUCUCAUCUCUGCUUUUUGCGGAUGAUGUGGUUCUGUUGGCUUCAUCAGGUGAAGGCCUCCAGCUCGCACUGGAACGGUUCGCAGCCGAGUGUGAAGCAGCGGGAAUGAGGAUCAGCACCUCCAAAUCUGAGGCCAUGGUUCUCAGCCGGAAAAGGGUGGAGUGCCCACUCUGGGUCGGGGAUGAGUUCUUGCCCCAAGAGGAGGAGUUCAAGUAUCUCGGGGUCUUGUUCGCGAGUGAUGGGAGAAGGGAGCCGGAGAUCGACAGACGGAUUGGUGCUGCGGCUGCAGUGAUGCGGACGCUGCACCGGUCCAUCAUGGUGAAGAGGGAGCUGAGUGUAAAAGCGAAGGUCUCAAUUUACCAGUCGAUCUACGUCCUUACCCUCACCUAUGGCCACGAGCUGUGGGUAGUGACCGAAAGAACGAGAUCGCGGAUACAAGCGGCAGAAAUGAGCUUCCUCCGAAGGGUGGCUGGCCUCUCCCUUAGAGAUAGGGUGAGAAGUUCGGCCAUCCGGGAGGGGCUCAGAGUAGAGCCGCUGCUCCUCCACAUCGAAAGGAGCCAGUUGAGGUGGUUCAGGCAUCUGACAAGGAUGCCUCCUGGGCGCCUCCUGGGUGAGGUGUUCCGGGCAUGUCCCACCGGGAGGAGGCCCCGGGGCAGACCCAGGACACGCUGGAGAGAUUAUAUCUCUCGGCUGGCCUGGGAACGCCUUGAUGUUCCCCGGAUAAGCUGGAGGAGGUGGCUGGGGAGAGGGAGGUCUGGGCUUCUCUGCUUAGGCUGCUGCCCCCACAACCCGGCCUCGGAUAAAGUGGAUGAAGAUGGAUGGAUGGAUGGAUGGAUGGAUGGAUGGAUGGAUCAGAGUUUGCUGAUAAUGUCAUUCUUUCCAAUUUAUUCACAUCGGGACUUCAAACUAACUGUCCAAAUAAACACUGAGAGGCAUUACCAACAUGGCUGCUGAAUGGCAAGCCUUGGAGUUUGAUGUAGUCCAUCAUAUUUCAUAGAAAUGGAGUCUGCGGUGGCAGCAAAUCAACCCUACAGUACUUGUGCACAUGACAGAUGGAGUGCGAGGAGAGGCAGUGACCCCCC
rnacentral:lncRNA from 1 species